CCAUGAGGUUGGGGUUCGACUCGGCUCGCUCACGUUGUACGGCUUGCUGGCUGUGGUGUGGCUACAGCUCCAAUUAGACCCCUAGCCUGGGAACCUCCAUAUACCGUGAGAUUAACCCUAGAAAAGAAAAAAAAAAAAAAAAAAAAAGCCUAAUAAAAUUAAGGCCUAAGCUUCUUAGCUAGAAAUUCAAGGCCUUCCACAACUAAUUCCUGGCCUUUCAAGCUUCACUCCCAUUACUCUUUAUAGAUAUAGCCUGCUACAGUCAAGCAUAUUUAUUAUCAUCUCUAGAAACAUUUGUACAUUAUCUCUCACGUAGGAUCUCACAUCACUACAUCUGCCAUGUGCCCAUUAUUACAGCCUUUUCUCUUUUAGAAAACACCCAAGCCUACAGAAUCAUUUUUUCUCUGACCUUCAUCAUCAUCAUUUGUACCCUUCACUUAACAAUUCAUCACCGUCAAUUACCUAAAACUAUUUCUCUUGCUACCAGUCUAGUUCACACCUUCAUUAAUAAUAGCCCAGAUUGUAACAAUAACCUCCAAAAGAUUCCUCUGCCUCAGUCUAGAGUCACUAUCUUCAAAACUAUUUUCUAUUGAUUAUGAAUAUUAUCCUUCUAGAACUAGUCUUUGAUCAUGACACCCAGAAAAUUGUCAUUAGCUCUCACCAAAGCUUUAGAUACUGGCUGUCUUCAUUCAGAUCUUACCAUCAAUCAAGUGAGUCCACUGGACAUUCCAAGUUUGUCUUGUGCUUUCCUUCUUCUAGGCUUCAACACAUUUUCACUGCAAGUAGAAAUUCUUCACUCUCAUUUUAAUUCCAUUGUUUUACCCAUCCUUCAGGACUCCCUUGAAAUGUGACUUUCCCUAACAGUUUUUCCCUGAUAACAUUUUUUUGAGAGACAUGUUCUCUAAAUACUUUAUAUUCUCAUUUGACUAUUACCUUUCUGCUGUCACUUAUCACAUUCUGCCUUGUGUUACACUUGUGUGCCUAUUUCUUUUAUUAGACAAGGUUCUUGAAAACAGCGAUCAAGACUUAAUCAUCAUAUUACCACCCAAUGCCUAAACUAAUUUCUUGGUAUGAGAUCAUUUACUGUUAAUAAUGAAUUGUUGAACUGUCAUGUUUACCACUAGAAAAGAAAUUCGCUUAAAUCAGUAAGUCGUAUUUUAUACUCUUUUGUCUCCCCGAGGUUUAUAGUACAAAGAUAGAUAGAUGGAUAAUACGUACCUAUAUAGAUACAUCCUACAUACUUGCUUUGCCAUAGUUUCAGAAAAAGGAAACAUUAUUCAUUCCCUGCUUGGUGCAGAGAAGGAGGGAGAAUCAUAGAGGGAUUUUAAAGGAAAUUAUCCUUAAGGAAUGGAUAUGAUUUGGUUAAGUGUGUUGAAAGGGGCAACUUCAUGAGAAAGAUGCAGUAGUGAGAAAUGGAAACUCUGCCAGGGCAUUGAUCUCAAACUGGGCCAUAGCCUAGGAACAGUCCACAAAGAUCUCUAGGGUUACUUCCAAAUCAAAGUAGGAACAUGGUAAAAUGUACAGUAAAUUUCUGAGCA
rnacentral:lncRNA from 1 species